rnacentral:rRNA from 1 species
CACGAAGUUGGAAUUGCUAGUAAUCGUGGAUCAGCAUGCCACGGUGAAUACGUUCCCGGGUCUUGUACACACCGCCCGUCACACCAUGGAGUCGGUAACACCCGAAGUCAGUAGUCUAACCGCAAGGAGGACGCUGCCGAAGGUGGGAUUGACGACUGGGGUGAAGUCGUAACAAGGUAGC